UAGGGGGCAAGCGUUGUCCGGAUUUAUUGGGCGUAAAGAGCGUGUAGGCGGCCAGGUAGGUCUGCUGUGAAAACUCGAGGCUUAACCUCGAGCUGUCGGCGGAAACUAUCUGGCUAGAGUCCGGAAGAGGAGAAUGGAAUUCCCGGUGUAGCGGUGAAAUGCGCAGAUAUCGGGAAGAACACCCGUGGCGAAGGCGGUUCUCUGGGACGGUACUGACGCUGAGACGCGAAAGCGUGGGGAGCGAACAGG
rnacentral:rRNA from 1 species